rnacentral:rRNA from 1 species
UACGUAGGAUGCGAGCGUUAAUCGGAAUUACUGGGCGUAAAGCGUGCGCAGGCGGUUCGUCGUGUCCGAUGUGAAAGCCCCGGGCUCAACCUGGGAAUGGCAUUGGAAACUGGCGGACUCGAGUGUGGCAGAGGGGGGUGGAAUUCCGCGUGUAGCAGUGAAAUGCGUAGAGAUGCGGAGGAACACCGAUGGCGAAGGCAGCCCCCUGGGCUAACACUGACGCUCAGGCACGAAAGCGUGGGGAGCAAACAGG